GUGCUCGCUUUGGCAACACAUAUGCUAAAAUUGGAACGAUACAGAGAUUAGCAUGGCCCCUGCGCAAGGAUGACACGCAAAUUCAUAAAGUGUUCCAUAUUUUU
rnacentral:snRNA from 1 species